GCAAGUCGAGCGCACUCUUCGGAGUGAGCGGCGGACGAGAGAGUCACGCGGGGGAAUAUGCCCAAAGGUAGAGAAUAGCCACUGGAAACGGUGAGUAAUACUCUAUGUGCCCUUCGGGGGAACGAUUUAUCGCCUUUGGAUUAGCCCGCGUUGGAUUAGGUAGUUGGUGGGGUAAUGGCCUACCAAGGCUACGAUCCAUAGCUGGUUUGAGAGGAUGAUC
rnacentral:rRNA from 1 species